CUGAGUGGAGAGGAACAUGCAUGUGUGUUGUAGGUCUCUGUGCAGAAGCUGCUGGAGCCCCAGCCAUACCAAGACCCUGUAGAGUACCCAGCUGUCCACUGAUGCCCACGAGGGUAGAUGUUUUAAACCUUCAGUGGGAUAUUGUCAAGGUUGGUACGUCUCAGAUAUGACCAACUGAACUUCUUCAUAAGCCUGUGUUGCAAGACCUAGUAAUUAUAGCUAUGGAAACAGCACAAGCUCUCUAAAGAGGAGGAGAGAUCACAAGCGGACUCUUCAGGGACAUUUAAUUUCUUCAGGCUGAAGAUACAGAAGAAAAUUACUUCAAAGGAGAAGAUAAGGCAAAUUUAGUUACUUAUGGGCCAAAAUCAGACCUGGAAUAAGGGAGCUGCAGCCACGGACACCCCACCUGAAUUUGGCCUUAUGUUUUUAGUUUUGCUUCCUUUUCUUUUUCUCACCCAAUUCUUUUCUCUUUGUCUCCCUUCACCUAUUUUCUCCUUCCCUUUCCUUUCUGUUUUAGGCUAAGGGGACCUGAGACUGCGGACCUAGUUUGUUUUGUGAAUACAGUUUUCUCCUGUCCCCAAGAAGGGAAGUGGAAGAUCAGCCCCCUAUAACUGAAGCAGAAAACUCCUGUUUUGGCCCCUUUUCUGGUAAUUGGUAGUCAGUUGCAGUGGAGCACCCUCUCUGUGCAAUGAGCAUUGUAGUGCUGUGCUGUUCAAGCUCAAAGUCCAGAGACAAUGAACACGUUAGCAGCUGAGCAUAAGCAUGUUUGUUUCCAGUUUGUGAGCCAGGCUUGGGCUAUGCCCAAUUACUUUUUUAGUGGGCCAUUUUGCUGCGUGGCUCAGUCAAACAAAACAAAGCUCUGUUUAAGGUUUGAUUGCUGCUGUAAAUCCAGGAGGUCUGCAAUAAAAACACAAGAUAAACCAGGUUAUUUUCUUCUUUGGGACACUGUCCACAGAAGUAUAAUCCUGCUGGGUGAAGAUCUAACCCCCAGCAACCCAUUUCUUAAUAGCAUAAUGUUAAUAAAACCAAAAUGAGAGAGAGCUAUUUCUGAGACCUCAGACUUUAAAGAGCUAAUUCAUGCACCUCACGUUUAAAUGUCUGUCUAGUGAUCAUUUUACAAUGAUGGAUGUGGUGGUUGCUUUUUCCUAGAUAACUCUGGGGCUUCUGUGACUCGCAUUUGCAGCCCGCACACAAUCCUUUGCCAGUUUCACUUGUGGAUUUAAUCUCUCCUCCACAACAGGGCUUCCCUAGCCCCUUCUGUGGGGAAGAUGCUUUAGUUGGAUUUCUUCAUGCAUGACUUUCUGCCCCACACCCUUCACUAUCACUAUACCCACAUAUGAGGCAUGUUUCUGCCCAACAGAAUGUUAUGUUUCUAUCAAAAGUUUCCUGGGGCCCUGUAUUGGUCACAUCAGUUCUUCUCUUCUAUUCCACAAACUAUAAACAUAGGCAGAA